rnacentral:rRNA from 1 species
GAUCGGAGUGACACCUGGAAACAGAUGCUAAUACCGGAUAACAACAGAUGAUGCCUAUCAACUGUUUAAAAGAUGGUUCUGCUAUCACUCUUGGAUGGACCUGCGGUGCAUUAGCUAGUUGGUAGGGUAACGGCCUACCAAGGCGAUGAUGCAUAGCCGAGUUGAGAGACUGAUCGGCCACAUUGGGACUGAGACACGGCCCAAACUCCUACGGGAGGCAGCAGGU